rnacentral:rRNA from 1 species
AUUGAACGCUGGCGGCAGGCCUAACACAUGCAAGUCGAACGGUAACAGGAAGCAGCUUUCUGCUUCGCUGACGAGUGGCGGACGGGUGAGUAAUGUCUGGGAAGCUGCCGGAUGGAGGGGGAUAACUACUGGAAACGGUAGCUAAUACCGCAUAAUGUCGCAAGACCAAAGAGGGGGACCUUCGGGCCUCUUGCGAUCGGAUGUGCCCAGAUGGGAUUAGCUUGUUGGUGGGGUAACGGCUCACCAAGGCGACGAUCCCUAGCUGGUCUGAGAGGGUGACCAGCCACACUGGAACUGAGACACGGUCCAGACUCCUACGGGAGGCAGCAGUGGGGAAUAUUGGACAGUGGGCGCAAGCCUGAUGCAGCCAUGCCGCGUGUAUGAAGAAGGCCUUCGGGUUGUAAAGUACUUUCAGCGGGGAGGAAGGGAGUAAAGUUAAUACCUUUGCUCAUUGACGUUACCCGCAGAAGAAGCACCGGCUAACUCCGUG